UGACUGUGAAGAUAUGAGUGAUGAAGCCAAUUGUGAUUGUGCUGCUGGAUUCUUUGCAUGCCAUAAAAAUAGUUGUUUGCCCAUUAGUACCUUAUGUGAUGGAAAUAUCGACUGUCCUAAUGGCAUUGAUGAGGCCAAUUGUGAAAAAACAGAUGUGAAUUGUGCGACCAACACAUACAAAUGUGCUGAUGGAAAAUGUAUUAUCA